rnacentral:rRNA from 1 species
UACGGGGGGGGCAAGCGUUGUUCGGAAUUACUGGGCGUAAAGGGCUCGUAGGCGGCCAACUAAGUCGGACGUGAAAUCCCCAGGCUCAACCUGGGAACUGCGUCUGAUACUGGAUGGCUUGAAUCCGGGAGAGGGAUGCAGAAUUCCAGGUGUAGCGGUGAAAUGCGUAGAUAUCUGGAGGAAUACCGGUGGCGAAGGCGGCAUCCUGGACCGGCAUUGACGCUGAGGAGCGAAAGCGUGGGGAGCAAACAGGG